UACGUAGGGUGCAAGCGUUGUCCGGAAUUAUUGGGCGUAAAGAGCUCGUAGGCGGUCUGUCGCGUCGGCUGUGAAAACCCGGGGCUCAACCCCGGGCCUGCAGUCGAUACGGGCAGGCUAGAGUUCGGUAGGGGAGACUGGAAUUCCUGGUGUAGCGGUGAAAUGCGCAGAUAUCAGGAGGAACACCGGUGGCGAAGGCGGGUCUCUGGGCCGCAACUGACGCUGAGGAGCGAAAGCAUGGGGAGCGAACAGG
rnacentral:rRNA from 1 species